rnacentral:lncRNA from 1 species
AAAUAUUCAUUUUGAUUUAUAUGCAAAGAUGUAUUUUCAUAGACGAAUAAAAUGCAUUAUUGGAAUGUUGUCUAUUAUGGCUGAUUGGUUUAAAUAAGUCAUCCUUCUAUUAUUUUGGUUGUCUUUGUGUAGGUUGUGUAAGUAAGGGUGGAAAAUAGGCUUGGUAAAUAGUCUUAUAUUGUCCACACGGGUAGACACACGGACGUGUGUCUAGGCUGUGUGUGACACACGGUCUGCCCUACGGGCAUGUGGUCCGGCUGUGUGUCCC